rnacentral:tRNA from 1 species
GGGGACGUAACUCAGCGGUAGAGUGUUCGCUUCGCAUGCGAAAAGCCCCGGGUUCAAAUCCCGGUGUCUCCA